rnacentral:ribozyme from 1 species
GCUGCUCAAAUAUGCUACCUCUCCGUGGUGAGCAGCAGGCAACGGAUUAUAAAUCCGGCUAAAGCAUAU